rnacentral:rRNA from 1 species
ACUCAAAGGAAUAGACGGGGGCCCGCACAAGCAGCGGAGCAUGUGGCUUAAUUCGACGCAACGCGAAGAACCUUACCAAGGCUUGACAUACACCGAAAACUCGUAGAGAUACGGGGUCCGCAAGGGCGGUGUACAGGUGGUGCAUGGUUGUCGUCAGCUCGUGUCGUGAGAUGUUGGGUUAAGUCCCGCAACGAGCGCAACCCUCGUUCUAUGUUGCCAGCGGGUUAUGCCGGGGACUCAUAGGAGACUGCCGGGGUCAACUCGGAGGAAGGUGGGGAUGACGUCAAAUCAUCAUGCCCCUUAUGUCUUGGGCUGCACACAUGCUACAAUGGCCGGUACAAAGGGCUGCUAAGCCGCGAGGUGGAGCGAAUCCCAAAAAGCCGGUCUCAGUUCGGAUUGGGGUCUGCAACUCGACCCCAUGAAGUCGGAGUUGCUAGUAAUCGCAGAUCAGCAACGCUGCGGUGAAUACGUUCCCGGGCCUUGUACACACCGCCCGU